UGCGACCUCAGGUUAGGUGAGACUACCCGCUGAAUUUAAGCAUAUUA
rnacentral:rRNA from 1 species